UGAUUUUCAGAGAUUAUUGGGAGAUA
rnacentral:misc_RNA from 1 species